UGAGGACAAAUGGGGAGGCAUCAGAAGACGGAGAAGAUACUGACUGUGAUGGGUCUCCGUUACCUGAGGAUGUCCCUGAGUCAGUGAACGGCGGGGGAGGAAAAGCAUGCUUUGCAAGCUUAAUCCAGGCAUCCCAAGAAGAGAAGCCCGUCAAAGAGGAAGCCACGCAGGAAAGCAGAGAGUCGACAACGGAGACAACAGACCGUGAGGAUUCCAGCAAAGGCAAGGAUUUUAGUUCCGGUUCUUUCAUUUAAAACAGCAAGUAGGAAAAUCAAAGUUUAAGUGAUGAUUUCACAAUAAAUGGAUGUAUUUGCUGUA
rnacentral:lncRNA from 1 species